UAAAUGAGGCCCGGGGAGGGGCGGCGGGGUUUACACGGCCUCGGGGGCCGCGGCCUCCCCCGCCGAGCAAGACAUUCCUUUCCGCUGAACUGGGCGCCUGGGCCCGCGCCGCUGCCGCGCCCUGCUCGCAUCGCCCUCGGCGGCCUGGCCCCGGGUGGGGAACGGCGCCCGGCCGGGGGCGGGGGUUGUGGUGGUGGCGGAGACGAGGGAGCGGGGAGCAAGGCCUGGGGUGGCCCCUUUCCCUCCCUGCGCUGUUCCCGGGAGCUCGCUGAAGCCUCAGCUGCCUGGGAGGGAAGGGAUCGGUUUGCCCAUUUAAGGGGUGGGGGACCUGAGCCCAGUGAGAGUCAUCACUGCGGGGUGUCUGAUUCCCCCCCGCCCCCCGCCCCAUUCCUUUGCCCAAGGCCUGAGACUCUCCCUUCACCCCUGUCCCCGGGUUGUGACUUUGGGUCUGCUGACAGCCCUGGGGUCUGAAGGCCAAGCACACUGUAGGGGCACCUUAGCCACUGGCUGACUGGGGUGCUUUUCCAGGGACCCCGGAGCGCAGUGAGCAGGCCCGUGCAUCUGACCUCACAGUGUCAGACGCCCACAGCCCCAGGGCCGGGCAGGGGUGGGAGGUGUCUGGAAUUACUGGUUUACCAAGACUGGUUGUAGGGAGAAGUUUCCAGACCCCUUGAGGUCUCCAGGGGGACUCAGUGUAGGAAGAGGACACUCUUAGAUGCUAACAGAGACCCCAGGGCCAAGCAGGCCUUCCCCUGGACUGCAGAUCGCGGUCGAGCCGUGGUUAACUUCUGUGUAUCGAAGUUUCCUUUAGGGGGCCCUAGUGUUUCCCCCACCCCAGCCACCCCUGGGCCCCUUCCAGCCCUUCCCUCUCCCAACCGGUUAGUGACCUGCACCUACUGGGUUCCAGAGUUUGGCCUCAGCUUCCAGCUGUGUAGCCUGGGGCAGCCGCCUUCACCACUGGAUCCUCUCGCUCACCUGUGAGAUGGGUUAGUAACAGUGCCAGCCUCGCCUGGGCUCUGGAAGGUUCCGUUAGGCCAGUCUUGACUUAGCACAGAAUCUGGCACGCAGUAAGCGCUCAAUACACAGUCGCUGUUGUUGGAGCUGGUUGUUUAUUACUGUUAUUUCUGAAGGACUCACCAAGGCCUAGCGAAGCCCCCCUCCCUGUCCUCUUAAGCAGAGCCGUGAGAAUGCUGAGCCUCGCAGCAUCCUGGCUUCUCCUCCCCGUUCCCCAUGAGCCGUGUCGAAAUCCUCCCAGAGAAGCUGCUGGGCAGAAACUUCCAGUCUCCCUGGCAAAGCCGGGAAGAGUUUGGGUGCGGCUCAGAGACGCAGUUGGGCAGGCUCUGCGGGGCCAGGGCUGGGGAAGGGCCCCCAGAUGAUCUUCGAGACCUGGGAAGCACCCCCGACCCUGGGCUGCGCCUGGCCCCCAGCUCCAGCCCCAGUGCUGUUACAGCCCAGGCAAGAGCCCACGGUCCUGCUGGUCCUGAAGGCUGGGGGAGGAAGAAUGCUGGCCAUACCCCUCCUUUGGCAAGCCCCUGUACCGCAGGAGUCUGAGUGAGUGCCCCUGGAAGAUGGGAUAAUGGGGUCACUGUGAGCAUCCCACAAGUGGGGGCUCUUUGCUUUAUUGACUGUCCCAAUUGUAGGGGCCACCGGGCCUCCAAGAGGCCCACUUUGCUGAUUCCUUGACCACCAGGAGGACCAGAGGCUCUGAUCAGGAUGGUGGGUCUCACUGGGGCUGUGGGGAAGUGGCCGGGGGAACCCACCAGGGACCUGGCAGACAGACUGAUCCUUGCUUUGCUCACAGGGCUGUGUGACCUGGGGUCACAAUUCAGCCUCUCUGGACCCUGUUCUAUCUGCAAAACAGACAGUGGCCUGUGAGCCUCACUCAUCAGCGGGAAGUUGGGCGCACUGCAGUAGGAAGAGAUGGGAGUCGAGUCCCUGUGCUGCCCACAACUGGACAGGUGGCCUUGGGCAAGUCUGAAUGAGACUGACUAAGACUGAAUAACUCGAAUGAGUAGAACGUGUCAGCGGCGCUCUGCUUCAGGCUGAUGUUGGGUGUUUUACAUACAUUGUCAUCUCACUGUUACUCUUGGAGGGAGGUUUUAUUAUUGACUUUAUUUUCCAGAUGAAGUAACUGAGGCUCAGAGAGGUCAAUUCACUUUCUCAAGGACACACAACUAGGAAAUGAGAGAGUCAGGAUUCAAACCCUGAUCUGCUGGCUUGGAGCAUGAAUCCCUAAAGAAAAAGCAAGUUGAAUGUUUUCAAAAAUAAAACAUUUGAAGCACCUACUAUGUGUAAGACGUCGAGGUAUGUCUAUUCCAAAAAGAAAGAAAGAAAGAAAUUUGCAAAGGAAAGAGCCGGGAGACAGAGACAUAGAAGACUGCAGCGGACUGAGCCAGGAUGGGUGGGUCCAGGCCACCUCUGACUGAUGGCUUUCCGGCGAUUUGAGUGAUGGGCCAUCUGGCAGCACCUUCUCAGAGAUGCUCACCUCUACAGGAGCUCCCAUCAGUCCGAUUUCUAGCCCAGUGCAGACCCAUCUGUCCAAUGAACUUGCAGCGUCACCUACUCUGGGCCAGUCACUCUGCCAGCACUGAAGAUGGAGCAGUGAACAAGACAGACCAAGUCUGCCCUCCUGGCGCCUACAGCCCAGAUGCGAAACACCUGAAAUGGGUAACUCCAGAGAGAAUCGGCUCAUUACGGUGUCACUUCUGCUGAUCCGGGGAUUCAGGCAGGGUCCCAUGGGGUGGGGACUCUUAAGCUGAUAUUGGCAAAAUGAAGAGCGGAAAGCAUGGUUCCAGGCGAGGGGAAUGACACGCCUGAAGACCCUGGGGCAGAAAGGACAUAAAGCUGUCCAGACUGGAGAGAAGGUCCAAAUGGCUGGAUCUUAGAACCGAAGGUGAUGGGAGGGGAGGAGAAGCUGAGAGGAGCCAGAUAUCCGGAGCCUGGGAAUGCUGCUUUGAAAGCCUGGAGAGCCAGAGAGGGAAGGAAGUGAUCAAUCAUGCUUGCAUAUUAGAAAGAUCUGUCUGGGGGACAUAAAGGGCAGACUGGGCAGGGAGGUGAGCAGAGAGUGGAAGCUGGGGGCCCAGCCUGGAUUGGGGCAGGGGCAGUGGGCACAGGGUGAAGGGAGCUGACUUCUUGAAGUGGGAAGCUCUUUAGGUCUUGGUAAGUAUUGGGCUUGGGGGUUAGGGAGAAGCAGUCGGCGAUGGCACCUGGGAACUGGGCAGGGUCAGGUGCAUGGCUGGAAGCGAUGGUCAGGGGCAAGUUCCAAAAAGAGGGGAAGCGCUGCAUCCAGCUUGGGCCACCCCAGUCUGCAGCAGUGCCCGGGGACCACAGCGCAGUCCUCAGACCCCAGUCCCAGUCUAGAGAGCGGCACUCUGGCCCUUUUCUGAUUGUGCCUUUCCUCAUGGGGCAAGGAAUCUGUGAUCUGGGCACCUGAGACCAUGGAAUUCCCUGCUCAAUGCCCCCCAGCCCACUUCCUGGGUCCAUCCUCCUGGGGGUGGUCUGAGCUGCCUGUUUGAGUACCCCUAAUCCCUAGGGGUGGCCAAGAGGUGGCUGUUUGCCAUGGGUGUGGGCAGGCUGGAGCGUCAGCACCCAAGCUCGUAAAGCCCCUCGUGGAAAAGAGCAAAACCUGCGCAGAAAGAAAAGAGGGGCUGAGUGGAAACCGGAGGCCAGGGCUGCCUCUCCUCGUGCUGCCACUUCCAGCAUGGACCCCAGGGGCCUGAGACUUCUAAUUACAAACCCAGCCUUCCAGGGGUGUUUGUCCUUAGGAAGGUGUAUUUGUCAAGGACGGAGGACAGAACGUAUUUUAUUUAGUAGUUCGGCAGCUUGAUUUAUAACUUGUAAAUACUUAGACACAAGGUAUGUGGCCUUUGCUUGUGCCCUGCCCUCCAGUGUUGCCCAGAGAGGAGCCGCCGCCCGGGUUCCACAUCGGCGUCGGCUGGCUGACCCUGGACCUGGAGGUCAGCCGCAGGGGAUGCUUCAGGCUUCUUCAGAGCUUCCAGACCCAACUUCAUGUGCCCCCACAGCACAUCCACCCUUUUUUAAAAAAAAAAUUUAUUUAUUAUUUAUAUU